rnacentral:lncRNA from 1 species
ACACUUUAAACUAUAGAAUACUAAAGUGAGAAAAUGCGAAACCACAGGGUACUAACUUGAUACACUUUAAACUACAGAAUACUGAAAUGAAAAAGUGCGAAACCAUAGAGGGUAUUUGAAGUUUUCCUUUUGUUUUGAGAGAAAGAGACAGAGAGUGUUUUUUUUUUUUUUUUUCGAGAGUAAGAGACCGAGCGUCUAUGAAGAGACGA